rnacentral:rRNA from 1 species
CGGGACGGGUGAGUAACGCGUGGGUAACCUGCCUUACACAGGGGAUAACACUUAGAAAUAGGUGCUAAUACCGCAUGAGCGCACAGGACCGCAUGGUCGAGUGUGAAAAACUAGAGGUGGUGUAAGAUGGACCCGCGUCUGAUUAGCUAGUUGGUGAGGUAACGGCCCACCAAGGCGACGAUCAGUAGCCGGCCUGAGAGGGUGGACGGCCACAUUGGGACUGAGACACGGCCCAAACUCCUACGGGAGGCAGCAG